UGGGGAAUUUUGGACAAUGGGCGAAAGCCUGAUCCAGCAAUGCCGCGUGUGUGAAGAAGGCCUUCGGGUUGUAAAGCACUUUUGUCCGGAAAGAAAUCCUUGGCUCUAAUACAGUCGGGGGAUGACGGUACCGGAAGAAUAAGCACCGGCUAACUACGUGCCAGCAGCCGCGGUAAUACGUAGGGUGCAAGCGUUAAUCGGAAUUACUGGGCGUAAAGCGUGCGCAGGCGGUUUGCUAAGACCGAUGUGAAAUCCCCGGGCUCAACCUGGGAACUGCAUUGGUGACUGGCAGGCUAGAGUAUGGCAGAGGGGGGUAGAAUUCCACGUGUAGCAGUGAAAUGCGUAGAGAUGUGGAGGAAUACCGAUGGCGAAGGCAGCCCCCUGGGCCAAUACUGACGCUCAUGCACGAAAGCGUGGGGAGCAAACAGGAUUAGAUACCCUGGUAGUCCACCCCUAAACGAUGUCAACUAGUUGUUGGGGAUUCAUUUCCUUAGUAACGUAGCUAACGCGUGAAGUUGACCGCCUGGGGAGUACGGUCGCAAGAUUAAAACUUAAAUGAAUUGACGGGGUCAUAGCUGUUUCCU
rnacentral:rRNA from 1 species